GACGAACGCUGGCGGCGUGCUUAACACAUGCAAGUCAAACGGAAAGGCCCUGCUUUUGUGGGGUGCUCGAGUGGCGAACGGGUGAGUAACACGUGAGUAACCUGCCCUUGACUUUGGGAUAACUUCAGGAAACUGGGACUAAUACCGGAUAGGAGCUCCUGCUGCAUGGUGGGGGUUGGAAAGUUUCGGCGGUUGGGGAUGGACUCGCGGCUUAUCAGCUUGUUGGUGGGGUAGUGGCUUACCAAGGCUUUGACGGGUAGCCGGCCUGAGAGGGUGACCGGCCACAUUGGGACUGAGAUACGGCCCAGACUCCUACGGGAGGCAGCAGUGGGGAAUAUUGCACAAUGGGCGGAAGCCUGAUGCAGCAACGCCGCGUGCGGGAUGACGGCCUUCGGGUUGUAAACCGCUUUCGCCUGUGACGAAGCGUGAGUGACGGUAAUGGGUAAAGAAGCACCGGCUAACUACGUG
rnacentral:rRNA from 1 species